UGGGAUUUUAUGAAUGGUUGCACUGAAAAGAGUUGCUUGCAGGUGUCCCUUAUGGGAAUGUGAAGUGGAUGGAUCAUGCUGGUCUUUUGUUGUCCUUAAGAUACCAAGUGCUGAUUCUCGGUUUUCUUCUGCAAGCUUUAUUGCAAAUACUUUUAAGUGGAGCAGAAACAAGAGUUGUCAUAAAAAGUAAUAAUACUGCAAAAUGUUGGGAGGGAGCAGCCAUAUAAUUUUGUCUCUUCAUCAGCCCUUGUUUUCAAUUAAUAAUAGACAAUUAUUGGUUUGCUUAUCACUUAGCCAAGCCACAGUUUAAACAAUCAUAUCUCUUUGAAUUAUUUAAUUAGUUUGGAUUGUUUUGUCUGUAGCUCUCAACCACCAUCUAUUAACUCAUGUUUAAUAGAUCAGUAUACAUGCUUGUUGCAUCUUUUAUCCAUCUCGUGUAUAGCGUGAACAUCAAGUCAUCAUAUAAGUAUAGUUCUUUAAAAAUGUUUGAGGGAAGACUGUGAUAGAAUAAGAAAAUAAGAGUAAAUCAUCCCUUACCAUUUUUCCUUUUCUAUUAGCAAACUGUAAUCUUGUGUAUGUAGGCACUUUUCAGUUCUUUUCCCUGACUGGUAAUAAUUUCUUCCUUAUAUUGUCUGCUGUAAUAAAAAGCUAAUGUUAGAUAAAGUAAAUGACAUCAAUUUUUCAAAAUAUAUGAAGUAUUACAGGGUAAAAUUAGGACUAUUUUAAUUUCCUUAGCUUUUUAAUACAAACUGGAAAUCUGUUUGUGCCUCUUUUGAGUAAAGGAUGCAUACAAAAAGAAGUGCAUUAGAAGGAAAACUCUGCAUAAAAUAUAUACAGGUAGUCACAACCACAAUUGAGUUCCAAAUUUAUGUUGCUAAGCAAGAUAGUUAUUAAGUGAAUUUUGUCCAAUAUUAUGACCUUUCAUGCCACAGUUGGUAAGUGGAUCACUGCAGUUGUGAAUCUGGCUUCCUUGUUGACUUCGCUUGUCAAAAGGUCACAAAAGGAUUAUAUGACCCAUGCAACCGUUAUAAAUAUGAGCCAGCUGCCAAACAUCUGAAUUUUGAUCACAUGACCAUGGGGAUGCUGUAAUGGUUGUAAGCGUGAAAACGGUCAUAAGUCACUGUUUUCAGUGCUGUUGUAACUUCGAAUAGUCACUAAAUUAAGUGUUGUAAAUUAGGACUACUUGUGUAUCAAUGAAAGCAACAUACCAAAUUCUUCUAAAUGUGUUUUUAAAAUACACUUAUAGGAGAAAUUUGCAUCAAAAUCCGUAUGAAUUUCCAUAGGAAUUUUUUUUAAGUUCAAACAAUAAGAAUUUUUGUAACUACAAUCAGAAAAAAUCAUCAAAUUUACUAUUUACUAUUCUCCUCCCCUCCCCUCCCUUCCCCUCCCCUCCCUUCUUCCAUUCCAUUCUAAUUAUUUUUGGCAAUUUGUGCUCAAUGUAGUAUGAAACAGGAUAGGAAAAGUUUUAUUUGAAAGGCCCUAUUAAAAACACUAAAAAUUAAGUAUAGUACAAUUAAUAUUAUACUGAGAAACUGAUAUUACUGAAAUGCCUAGUACAGACUGGAGCUGGAAAGGCCAGAGUUUUGGAUUACCUUGGGUCAAUCAUUAUAUCCCAGAUGACUGAGUCAACGUAUUUCAUAUUUGAAGUAGGUUUUUGAUAUUUGAAAUGGUUGUUUUCAAUUUGAGAUUUUUGUUUACCCUUCUUUGUGUCUGUUAGAACGUGGUAUCAAGCUGUGUUGUCUUCUACCGCCAACUGUUAAUGACUCCAGGUUAUGUCUAGUCUUGCUGAUGAUGAACAGUUAUUUCAGAGGAAGAUGAUGUGAGCUAUAUAGAAAGACAGCUUUCUGUCUUUCCCCCAAUGUUUUGUACAUUUUUGAUAAAGAUUUAUUUGUGUAUUUAAUUUGUAAGGCAAUACUGUUUUUCAGGAUUUCUUCAGAAUUUCAGAUGACUAAGCAUUCAUUGCAGUAUUUGGCUUCCUUAUAUUCCCGAGUAUGUACAGCCUGGAUAUUAAUAGCUUGGUUCACAUAUUGUGCUAAAACAAUUGCUUUUGACAAUGAUGUAUUGAAUAAAUUGCAUGAAAUUAUAAACCUUAGUUUGCAAAUCACAGUAGCUUGAGUUCAUAAAAUCAAGUAAAACCACAUUAUAAUUUAAUGUGAUGUAUGGACCUGGUUGAUCCAUUUCUUAACCUUCUUGAAUAGUUUUAGCAAUAUGUCUUGGUUCCUAUCUUUUUUAUUUGCCCUCCAUGUAUGUUAAAAAUGUCACCUCCAAAAAAUAUUUGCCUGUCACAGACAUAAUUGAUUACAGUAGUUGACAUCCUUGUGAUUAUGGGAGAGAUGUGUAGAUUCACAGAACCAACAGUCAACCUUCAAUAGAUAACCAUACCCCUUAUCUGUUUGGUUGAAAAAGUGUGAGAUAGCUGAAAUAAGCAGAUGUACAGUUAUUGAUUUGUAUGUGAAAUUCACUGACAGGCAAAAUCUUUUUGAUGUGCAAAAAAAGAAACAAUACCCUUCCUCUCUAAGGGAUAGGAUUCAAUAUGACACAGAAUUUGUGUGUGGACAACAAAAGGUAUGACCUAGAUGAAAACUGGAUAUACAUGGAAGUUUAGCAAUAAGUGGAAACCACUGCAGGUUGCUUCUCUUGAAAGUAUUUCUCAAAUGCUCAGAUAUUUUAUAUUAAUGCAAGGCUCCUCAAUUUCAUUUAAUUAAUGUUCUUUGCAUUUAAAGCCAAUUGAGAUAAUCGGUAGAAAUGAGAAGAGAGCAGUUUUCAGGCUAUCAGUCUUUCUUUUGUAUCUUCAAAAUAGUCAAAUGCUAUCUCUUCCAAUGUUAACUGUAAUGGCAUUAGCUUCCUUCCCCUUCAGAUUAGAAGAUUGUACUGAAGAGCUAUUUUGAAGAAAUAAGAAUAAACAAUCAUUUAUGAUUUUUUGUUGUUGUUGAAGAAGUAGAAAACUGCAUUAGCAAUAGCCAAUGAGAUUUCAGAGUAAGAGAGAUCUGGAAAAGCUAAUACAAAUACAAAGCAUAUAUCCCUGAAAGCACUUUAUAAGACACACACAUAUCUUCAGUCGUGGAAACAUCAUUAAAUAUACUGCUAAUAUACUAAUAAUUAUGUUUUAAUACAUUUAAUUAAAAUGGUUAUUUUUCCUGGUCUAUUUUUCACUUUUUGGAGCAUGGGUCUAGUACACCAGUUAAAGACUGAGUGCAGGAUUUGGUCACCAAAAUUGUGCACCCCAAUUUAGUAACUUAACAAAUUCAGAUCUUUUGCCUUUUUUGCUUGAAGUACAGCAAAUAAUCCUACAGCAUUUUAAGCUUAAUAAAUAUCUGGCAUAAUCCUGUUUUCAUCGUAUCCUUAAUUUUCAGCAAUCAUUAUGAAAGAGGACUCCAGGGGCCACAAAAAAGUAGGCUUAGGCACUGCUAUAGACACCCAUUCCUUUUUAUAUGAUGAAUAAGAAAUACAAAUUGCAGACUUCAACAAGUCAGUCCAGACAAGAGAAGAAGCUUGUAUUUUUAUCUGGUCACAGCACUUCAGUAGAUCAGCAGAAGUGACCCUCCUCAAAUUUGGAUAAUAAUAUGAUGGCACCCAUACUAUCCAAAGCAUAUCAAUGCAGAGUUUCAAGCUGUGGAAAAUACCUCUAUAGAUGCUUGACAUUGCAGGAUGAGAACCGUUUUAGGCUAUGACGGCAAAAAACCCAGAAGGCAUCCCUUUGUGGCUAAUAUUAUUAAAACAAGAGUUUUGAGCUGCAGCUCCCUUCAUCAUUCUAGCUAUUAUGUGCAUUUUAUAAGUAACUCCUGAUACAUAUUGUAUGAUCUCUAUGUUAGGGCAGGUUUAUAUUUGUCAGCCAAGAACAUGCAUUUGAAAUAGGGCAAGUGGUGCAUGGAUGUGGUUCUUUCUGUAUCUUUCAUGAUAUAUUAAUUGGAUUCCGUAUUAAAAUAAGGCACUUAGUAUUCA